rnacentral:Y_RNA from 1 species
AGCUGACCUGAUGGCGCUGGGUCAUCAGAACUUAUUAACAUUAGUGUCAUUAAAGUUGGUAUACAAUGCGCCCACCCCCCGCUAAAUUUGACUAGCUUUAA